CGAGCGGGCAUCUUCGGGUGUCAGCGGCGGACGGGUGAGUAACGCGUGGGAACGUGCCUUCUGGUUCGGAAUAACUCAGGGAAACUUGAGCUAAUACCGGAUACGCCCUUUUGGGGAAAGGUUUACUGCCGGAAGAUCGGCCCGCGUCUGAUUAGCUAGUUGGUGGGGUAACGGCCUACCAAGGCGACGAUCAGUAGCUGGUCUGAGAGGAUGAUCAGCCACACUGGGACUGAGACACGGCCCAGACUCCUACGGGAGGCAGCAGUGGGGAAUAUUGGACAAUGGGCGCAAGCCUGAUCCAGCCAUGCCGCGUGAGUGAUGAAGGCCUUAGGGUUGUAAAGCUCUUUUAUCCGGGACGAUAAUGACGGUACCGGAGGAAUAAGCCCCGGCUAACUUCGUGCCAGCAGCCGCGGUAAUACGAAGGGGGCUAGCGUUGCUCGGAAUCACUGGGCGUAAAGGGCGCGUAGGCGGUCUUUUAAGUCGGGGGUGAAAGCCUGUGGCUCAACCACAGAAUUGCCUUCGAUACUGGGAGACUUGAGUUCGGAAGAGGUUGGUGGAACU
rnacentral:rRNA from 1 species